rnacentral:rRNA from 1 species
UAAAUUGAGAGUUUGAUCCUGGCUCAGGACGAACGCUGGCGGCGUGCCUAACACAUGCAAGUCGAGCGGAGAAAGUUCUUCGGAAUUUUCUCAGCGGCGGACGGGUGAGUAACACGUGGGUAACCUGCCUUAUAGAGGGGGAUAGCCUUCCGAAAGGAAGAUUAAUACCGCAUAAUAUUUUCGUUUCGCAUGAAAUGAAAAUCAAAGGAGCA